GUUCUCUCUGUGUGUACAGGUGUGUGUUCUCUCUGUGUGUAACAGGUGUGUGUGUGUGUGUUCUCUCUGUGUGUACAGGUGUGUGUUCUCUCUGUGUGUAACAGGUGUGUGUGUGUGUGUUCUCUCUGUGUGUAACAGGUGUGUGUGUGUGUUCUCUCUGUGUGUACAGGUGUGUGUUCUCUCUGUGUGUAACAGGUGUGUGUGUGUGUUCUCUCUGUGUGUAACAGGUGUGUGUGUGUGUUCUCUCUGUGUGUACAGGUGUGU